rnacentral:rRNA from 1 species
CUCCCGCUAUUGGAUGAGCCUAUGCCGGAUUAGCUGGUUGGUGAGGUAAUGGCUCACCAAGGCGACGAUCCGUAGCUGGUCUGAGAGGAUGAUCAGCCACAUCGGGACUGAGACACGGCCCGAACUCCUACGGGAGGCAGCAGUGGGGAAUAUUGGACAAUGGGGGCAACCCUGAUCCAGCCAUGCCGCGUGUGUGAAGAAGGCCCUCGGGUUGUAAAGCACUUUCAGCGAGGAAGAACGCCUGUCGGUUAAUACCCGGCAGGAAAGACAUCACUCGCAGAAGAAGCACCGGCUAACUCCGUGCCAGCAGCCGCGGUAAUACGGAGGGUGCAAGCGUUAAUCGGAAUUACUGGGCGUAAAGCGCGCGUAGGUGGCUUGAUAAGCCGGUUGUGAAAGCCCCGGGCUCAACCUGGGAACGGCAUCCGGAACUAUUAGGCUAGAGUGCAGGAGAGGAAGGUAGAAUUCCCGGUGUAGCGGUGAAAUGCGUAGAGAUCGGGAGGAAUACCAGUGGCGAAGGCGGCCUUCUGGACUGACACUGACACUGAGGUGCGAAAGCGUGGGUAGCAAACAGGAUUAGAUACCCUGGUAGUCCACGCCGUAAACGAUGUCGACCAGCCGUUGGGUGCCUAGCGCACUUUGUGGCGAAGUUAACGCGAUAAGUCGACCGCCUGGGGAGUACGGCCGCAAGGUUAAAACUCAAAUGAAUUGACGGGGGCCCGCACNAGCGGUGGAGCAUGUGGUUUAAUUCGAUGCAACGCGAAGAACCUUACCUACCCUUGACAUCCUGCGAACUUGUGAGAGAUCACUUGGUGCCUUCGGGAGCGCAGAGACAGGUGCUGCAUGGCUGUCGUCAGCUCGUGUUGUGAAAUGUUGGGUUAAGUCCCGUAACGAGCGCAACCCUUGUCCCUAUUUGCCAGCGAUUCGGUCGGGAACUCUAGGGAGACUGCCGGUGACAAACCGGAGGAAGGUGGGGACGACGUCAAGUCAUCAUGGCCCUUACGGGUAGGGCUACACACGUGCUACAAUGGCCGGUACAAAGGGCUGCGAGCUCGCGAGAGUCAGCGAAUCCCUUAAAGCCGGUCUCAGUCCGGAUCGGAGUCUGCAACUCGACUCCGUGAAGUCGGAAUCGCUAGUAAUCGUGCAUCAGAAUGGCACGGUGAAUACGUUCCCGGGCCUUGUACACACCGCCCGUCACACCAUGGGAGUGGACUGCACCAGAAG